GUAUUUUUUGCGGCCAUAGCCCUCUUCACCAUAACCGUACUUGCGAGGCUCAUCAUCAUCAUCGCGCCUCUCAUAAGCCGGCUUCUCGUAGCCCUCCUCUUCUUGCCCCUCAUUACUUGGCCUCCCAUAACUAGGCCUCCUCGGUGGCUCCUCCACCUCCGGACUCUCGUAGCUCGGCCUCCCAUACUGUGGCUUCCUGGGGGACCCUUCCCCACCAUAACCAUACCCGCCACCUUGUUCCUCUCCGAAGCUAGGUUUCCGACCGUACCCAGAUCCAUAUUCAGAACUCGGUGCUUCGUACUCAGGCCUCCGACCAUACCCAGAUCCAUACUCCGAACUGGGCUGCUCGAACUCGGGCCUCCGACCAUACCCAGAUCCAUACUCCGAACUAGGUUGCUCGUAUUCAGGCUUCCGACCGUACCCAGAUCCAUAUUCCGUGCUAGGCUGUUCGUAUUCAGGCUUCCGACCGUACCCAGAUCCAUAUUCCGAGCUAGGCUGUUCGUAUUCAGGCUUCCGACCGUACCCAGAUCCAUAUUCCGAGCUAGGCUGUUCGUAUUCAGGCUUCCGACCGUAGCCAGAUCCAUAUUCCGAGCUAGGCUGUUCGCAUUCAGGCUUCCGACCGUACCCGGAUCCGUACUCCGAACUGGGUUCCUCGUAAUCAGGCUUCCGCCCAUGCCCAGAUCCAUACUCACCCUCCCCACCAAAACUCGACGGCGGCUUCGGCUGAUACCCAUACUCACCACCAUCACCACUGCCUCCGAACCCUCCUUGGCCAGGAGGUGGUCCGGCGUAACCAAGGACCGGACGAGGCUUGGGACGAGCAUAGCUCUUGUAUUCAUUCUCAAGAGCUUCAUCACC
rnacentral:lncRNA from 1 species